rnacentral:rRNA from 1 species
AGUGAACGCUGGCGGUAGGCCUAACACAUGCAAGUCGAACGGCAGCACAGUAAGAGCUUGCUCUUACGGGUGGCGAGUGGCGGACGGGUGAGGAAUACAUCGGAAUCUACUUUUUCGUGGGGGAUAACGUAGGGAAACUUACGCUAAUACCGCAUACGACCUACGGGUGAAAGCAGGGGAUCUUCGGACCUUGCGCGAUUGAAUGAGCCGAUGUCGGAUUAGCUAGUUGGCGGGGUAAAGGCCCACCAAGGCGACGAUCCGUAGCUGGUCUGAGAGGAUGAUCAGCCACACGGGAACUGAGACACGGUCCAGCCUCCUACGGGAGGCAGCAGUGGGGAAUAUUGGACAAUGGGCGCAAGCCUGAUCCAGCCAUACCGCGUGGGUGAAGAAGGCCUUCGGGUUGUAAAGCCCUUUUGUUGGGAAAGAAAAGCAGCAGGUUAAUACCCCGCUGUUCUGACGGUACCCAAAGAAUAAGCACCGGCUAACUUCGU